ACUUGGCUCAGCCCAAGCACUUCUAUCUGGCUACCAGGGUGCCUGCCAAGUAAACAAGCAUUUUUCUGUGCUAUGUCUAAAAAAAAAAAAGACGAUGCAAAGAUUAGGGGAUCAUGGAGGAUGGGAGGCAGGACUAGAUUGCAGCUCUGGACAGAGCAGCAUGCGAAGGCUUGCAUUGUGAAUUUUAGCUCCAGAUCAACUGCAAGAACAAACCAGGAAUCCUGAGAGGACCCACAGACCCUCUGAAGGAAGCAGACUGCUCCUGCAGGACCUGGGAGACACCCCAAAUACUUGUGAGGAGAUGUGGUGGGGACCAUUAACUGUUGGAAGGAUUCCUUUUAAGGAUGCAUUCUAUCAAGAGCUAGAUAUCAGAGCCACUUGGGAGAAAUAAGAAACAGGUGUAGAAACAGCUCCCGAUGACUCCCGUGAAAUUGAAAAAUCAGGUAGAAUGUGUGAAGUCUCAAAGGACUGAUAAGAAAACUGGACAACCAAGGCUGUGAGU